rnacentral:tRNA from 1 species
ACCGCCUUUUCUACCCUCAACUUGGGUAUUCCGUUAUAACGAUAACGAGUGGCUAAAGGUUAGCCCAAAUCAGCGGUCAGAUAAACGAAAAGG